rnacentral:lncRNA from 1 species
GGGGAACGACAGGUCGCCGUCCGCGAUCGCGCCGCCGUCGAACGUCCGCGUCGUGCGGCCGUACAGGUGUGAGUGGCGGGAUUUCAUCGACGUCGUCGUCUCGCCGCCGACCAGCGCGCGGGUGGUGCGGGUGGGUCGUCCGGUGGCGUCGUAGAGCGACGCGUCGUCGCCUAAGGUGCGUUCCAUACGAAGCGACGUCGGGGUGGAGUUGAAAGGCGUCAGGGGUGGAGUUGAAAGGCGGCGAGGUGUGUCGGGAUUGAAAGCGAGGGACCCUGGGCGGAGAGAGAUGCCGCGCAAAGUCCUUAAGGAUCGGCGUUCACCACGCCGACGCGGUCGUAUGGAAACCAGUGUAUGGGACGCGCCGAAGCCGAACGUCUCCGCCAGCCCUUCGUCUCUCGUCACCGACGGGAACCCGGUCCCGCGGACGACGCACACGAACGGCUCGAAGUUAAACUGCGACAGGUCCACCCUCAGGUUCAUCACGCUCGUCGUCCGCGUCGUCGGGCGGAACGUCACGCGGACGACGACCUCGCCGUUGGCCGGGACGACGCCUCUCCGCGGCUC